GGGUUGUGAGGUUAAGCGACUAAGCGUACACGGUGGAUGCCCUGGCAGUCAGAGGCGAUGAAGGACGUGCUAAUCUGCGAUAAGCGUCGGUAAGGUGAUAUGAACCGUUAUAACCGGCGAUUUCCGAAUGGGGAAACCCAGUGUGAUUCGUCACACUAUCAUUAACUGAAUCCAUAGGUUAAUGAGGCGAACCGGGGGAACUGAAACAUCUAAGUACCCCGAGGAAAAGAAAUCAACCGAGAUUCCCCCAGUAGCGGCGAGCGAACGGGGAGCAGCCCAGAGCCUGAAUCAGUGUGUGUGUUAGUGGAAGCGUCUGGAAAGGCGCGCGAUACAGGGUGACAGCCCCGUACACAAAAAUGCACAUGCUGUGAGCUCGAUGAGUAGGGCGGGACACGUGGUAUCCUGUCUGAAUAUGGGGGGACCAUCCUCCAAGGCUAAAUACUCCUGACUGACCGAUAGUGAACCAGUACCGUGAGGGAAAGGCGAAAAGAACCCCGGCGAGGGGAGUGAAAAAGAACCUGAAACCGUGUACGUACAAGCAGUGGGAGCACGCUUAGGCGUGUGACUGCGUACCUUUUGUAUAAUGGGUCAGCGACUUAUAUUCUGUAGCAAGGUUAACCGAAUAGGGGAGCCGAAGGGAAACCGAGUCUUAACUGGGCGUUAAGUUGCAGGGUAUAGACCCGAAACCCGGUGAUCUAGCCAUGGGCAGGUUGAAGGUUGGGUAACACUAACUGGAGGACCGAACCGACUAAUGUUGAAAAAUUAGCGGAUGACUUGUGGCUGGGGGUGAAAGGCCAAUCAAACCGGGAGAUAGCUGGUUCUCCCCGAAAGCUAUUUAGGUAGCGCCUCGUGAAUUCAUCUCCGGGGGUAGAGCACUGUUUCGGCAAGGGGGUCAUCCCGACUUACCAACCCGAUGCAAACUGCGAAUACCGGAGAAUGUUAUCACGGGAGACACACGGCGGGUGCUAACGUCCGUCGUGAAGAGGGAAACAACCCAGACCGCCAGCUAAGGUCCCAAAGUCAUGGUUAAGUGGGAAACGAUGUGGGAAGGCCCAGACAGCCAGGAUGUUGGCUUAGAAGCAGCCAUCAUUUAAAGAAAGCGUAAUAGCUCACUGGUCGAGUCGGCCUGCGCGGAAGAUGUAACGGGGCUAAACCAUGCAC
rnacentral:rRNA from 2 species